GCAUUGAAAAUCCUGAAAUUCCUCCUACAGAUCCAGUCUAAAUGUAAUUGAAAGGUCAGUGACCCUAAAAUGUGGUCCCCAGAUCAGUGGCCUCAGAAUCACCUGGAAACUUGUUAAAAAUGCAGAAUCCCAGGCCUACCCUGGACUAUCAGAAGCUGAAGCCAUAUGUGAUAGGCCCUAUGAUUAUACUUAUUUUACUGAAGAGGACAUCAAGGCUUAAAGUGAAGAUGGCUGCAAGCAGUUCUGUUGAACAUGUAAAUAUUCCCCCUGCUGUGAUUAUUAUUGCAACUGAACAGAGAUGCUCUAUUUUCAAGAUGCUGAUACAAGAGGAUCAGAGAAUCAGGAGCAAUGCAACCAGGUUUUUCAAAGGCCCAGGAAGAAACCAAGAAGAGCUCAGCUGAGUCUCCUAAGAGGCCCGCUUGUCAUCUUUGAAUUCAGGCAAGGAGAAGCUUCUGGCUAAACUGGAAGAAGGCUCUGCAUUCAGGACACCUGGACUCCGCAUCCCUGCUCGGGCAGCAUAACCGUUGUCAAGGCCUGCAGCCAGUCUUGGUUUUCUUUCCCAGCCUGGGGAAUGGGUGGUCAGCCCAUCUCCUGAGCUUUACCAUUGUUGGACUUUGAUUUUAAACAGAUCUGAGUUUAAAUCCCUGCUUUAACACCCUGGUGACUCUGGAAAAUUCUACAUAAAAUUGUUU
ensembl:lncRNA